ensembl:lncRNA
UUUAUGUGUAAAGUAAAACCCCUGGUUUCAAUUCUAUGGGUAAGUGAAAUAGGCCUUUUCUGGAAACCUAUGGGUUAUCUAGUGUGUAAAUACAGUAUAAAUACUGGAGCUUAAGCUCAGGGUAUUGGGGAUCACUUUUGAGAAUUCUCAUCGGUGUGGAUCUCGUGUGGUGGAAUGGAACAAUAAAGCUGGACCCUUGCUUCUUCUCACUCACGGCUGGUGUGUUUUUUCUAUCUCCAACUGGGCUCAGAGGUAGAUGUGAGUAUUGGCUUCUAAGUUGAGUUUUAAAAGUUUUUGGGUAAUAGGCUAAAUUCGAGCCAACAUUUGGCACCCCAGAUGGGACUGGGCUAAGAUCUAUAUGUCUGGAAUCUCUCCCGUGGGACUUCGCUCUCUAAGCAACAGACAGGCCGUAUAGGAAAAGGCAUUGCAGACGCCUGUUAUUUCAAAGCUCUGUUUUAGUGGUCUGUUGUUACGAUGGAGAAGCCCCGGGGUGGGAAGAAAGACUAAGUGGGUCUCCAAAAGAACCUGGAGUGAGUGAGAAGAGGUAAGAGAAGUAUAGAUUGUAGAAUGUACUUUUUAUAAUUAUAAUAAAGAAAUGGUAUAUGUGUUGUGUGAGUGAAAGUCCUGCAAUACCGCUGGAGGAAGGGAAAAAAGGUAGAAAAAAGAGAAAUAGAGAAAUACUCCAGGGCUGGGAUAGAAAGCAGGUGGAAAAUGAGGCCUCAGACCCCAGAUACCGGCUACUAGACUAGACUAGCAGUCUAGUGGCGGCUGCAUUGGUGGGGACCCCUAAUACCGCUGGAAAAGGAUUAGAUAAAAGAUAGAUAGAUUAGAUUCCAGGGCUGGAUAGAGAGGGGAAUAAAUCCUGGGCCUAGGUCCGGGUCGUGCAAUACAGCAUGCCCGGUGUAUGAAUGGAAUAUGUACUAACAAAUGUGUGUGCUUAAAAUAUAUGUGCUUAUAAUAUGUAUAAUAUGAGUGUGGUGUGAGAGCGUGUAAGUUUUGGAGACAGGGAAAAUGUAUUUAUUAGUGCUCUGAACAUGAGCUCCAUACCUAAAGUAUUGGAUAAGUGGGAUAAGAUUCAGAGAAAAUAAUUUUUUUUGGAGAAAGUUGGAUUUAAUUUGUAUGACUGUAAGCUUCAUGCAUACGGAGCUGGUUUGGAGGUGCUUUAUACUUUGAAAACUUCAUGUAGUAAAAUAAGUGUAAUAAUGUGGAAUACAAUGUGUGUAUGUGAGCUUGCCUGCGUUGUUGAUAGAAAGGGGGGGUGUAUGUGUGUGUGUUCCUGUCCGUUCUUAUCUGUGCGUCUGUGUGGAAGGACAAGGGGGAAAAAAAAAAAAAAAAAAGGGGAAAAAGGUAAGACAAUUCGGUGUGUGUGAAUUCUUCAGAGUGGACUGGGUAAUGCGGAGCAUUGUGAGAUAUCUUGCGGACUUUGAAUAUUUCGAAUCCGGUACAUACGUUCGAUUGUGUGAUCCAGGAACAGGAAAACUGAAGGUGGGAGAAAAGUGUAUAUUGUCGGGCCAUUAUUGAGAAAUGACUGCCACAGGGCCUAGACGGGGGAGGUUCCUAACUCAGGACGGAGAAAGUAGGCGGCUGCGGCAUCCACAGGGACACAAUGGAGCCCGCGUGAAAGAGAUACAAAACGAUGCAGGAGUAAGUGAAAUUUUGUCCUGGUUAAAACGGGGGGCUCAAAAAGACGGUGCGGGGAUAUGGCGCAGUGUGGAA